CUCCCAUUGGGUGUGGGUUUCUAGAGAAGCCAAUCAGCGUCGCCGCGGUUCCCGGUUAUUAAGUCUCCUCAGAGCUACCCGGACUCAGCUUCUCCUCAGACUCUGAGGAUGGGGGUCACGGCGCCCCGAACCCUCCUCCUGCUGCUGUCGGCGGCCCUGGUCCUGACCGAGAGCUGGGCGGGCUCCCACUCCAUGACGUAUUUCUACACCGCCGUGUCCCGGCCCGGGCGCGGGGAGCCCCGGUUCAUCGCCGUCGGCUACGUGGACGACACGCAGUUCGUGCGGUUCGACAGCGACGCGGGGAAUCCGAGGAUGGAGCCGCGGGCGCCGUGGGUAGAGCGGGAGGGGCCGGAGUACUGGGAGGAGCAGACACGGCGCGCCAAGGAGACAGCACAGACUUUCCGAGUGAACCUGAGGACUCUCCGCGGCUACUACAACCAGAGCGAGGACGGUGAGCGACCCCAGGCCGGUCACAGGUCACGACCCCUCCCCGCCCCACAGUCAACCCCGAGUCGCCGGAUUUGUAGGGUCCGAGGGUCACCCCGAGGCUGCGGGACCCCUGAGACCUUCGACCUGGGAAGGGCCCGCGGGGACUUUCACCCGGUUUCGUUUUCAGUUUAGGACAAAAUCCCGGCGGGUUGGUCGGGGCGGGGCGGGGCCGGUGGGCGCGGCUGACCGCGGGGACGGGGACAGGGUCACACAGCAUCCAGACGAUGUACGGCUGCGACGUGGGGCCGGACGGGCGCCUCCUCCGCGGGUACAUGCAGUUCGCCUACGACGGCGCCGACUACAUCGCCCUGAACGAGGACCUGCGCUCCUGGACCGCGGCGGACCCGGCGGCUCAGAACACCCAGCGCAAGUGGGAGGCGGCCGGUGAGGCGGAGGGACACAGGGCCUACCUGGAGGGCACGUGCGUGGAGUGGCUCCGCAGAUACCUGGAGAACGGGAAGGACACGCUGCAGCGCGCGGAUCCCCCAGAGGCACGUGUGACCCACCACUCUACCUCUGACCGUGAGGCCACCCUGAGGUGCUGGGCCCAGGGCUUCUACCCUGCAGAGAUUACACUGACUUGGCAGCGGGAUGAGGAGGAUCAGACUCAGGACAUGGAGCUUAUAGAGACCAGGCCUGCAGGAGAUGGAACCUUCCAGAAGUGGGCAGCUAUGGUGGUGCCUUCUGGAGAAGAGCAGAGAUACACAUGCCGUGUGCAGCAUGAGGGGCUGCCAGAGCCCCUCUCCGUGAGAUGGGAGCCGUCUUCCCAGCCCAUCAUCCUCAUGCUGGGCAUUGUUGCUGGCCUGGUUCUUCUUCUAACUGUGCUGAUUGGAGCUGUGGUUGUGAUGUGGAGGAGGAAGAUCUCAGGUGGAAAAGGAGGGAGCUACACUCAGGCUGCAAGUAAGUAUGGGGGUGUGUUUGGUGAUCUGUGA